CGUAUAUUAAAGUUGUUGCAGUUAAAAAGCUCGUAGUUGGAUUUCUGGUGGGAGCGUUGGGCCGGCCCUAAGGGUCUGAGCUCAAAUGUUUUCCGCCAUCCUUGGAGGGAUGUUGUCUGGCAUUAAGUUGUCGGGCUUCCGAUCUCCAUCGUUUACUGUGAAAAAAUUAGAGUGUUCAAAGCAGGCUUAUGCCGUUGAAUACAUUAGCAUGGAAUAAUAAGAUAGGACCUUGGUACUAUUUUGUUGGUUUGCGUACCUAGGUAAUGAUUAAUAGGGACAGUUGGGGAUAUUACUAUUUCGUUGUCAGAGGUGAAAUUCUUGGAUUUACGAAAGAGUAACUACUGCGAAAGCAUUUAUCAAGGAUGUUUUCAUUAAUCAAGAACGAAAGUUAGGGGAUCGAAGAUGAUUAGAUACCAUCGUAGUCUUAACCAUAAACUAUGCCGACUAGGGAUUGGCGGUCGUUUUUCCGACUCCGUCAGCACCUUAUGAGAAAUCAAAGUCUUUGGGUUCCGGGGGGAGUAUGGUCGCAAGGCUGAAACUUAAAGAAA
rnacentral:rRNA from 1 species